rnacentral:lncRNA from 1 species
CCAGCUUGUGGAGAGAGGGGAUGAAGCGAAAUUUAGGGCAGGAAGAACAUGAGCCUGCUAGCAUAAUCCACUUCUAUCGCAAAGCGAGCGGGUAUGCUCAGGCCUGCGGCCAGAUGGAGUCUCAAACUAUCACCUGGGCUGGAGUGCGAUGGCAUGAUCUCGGCUCACUGCAACCUCUGCCUCCAGGGUUCAAGCGAUUCUCCUGCCUCAGCCUCCCAAGUAGCUAGGACUACAGCUCCCGCAUACCUCCACCUGCCAUAUUGGCCUGCCAUGGUAGGCCAGGGAGAGAGAAAAAGGAAGAAAAGAGAAGAGAAAAGAAAAAUGUGUUGCCUACUGCCCCUGCCUUUAUUGGGAUGGACAGCUGGAGUAAACAUCAUCCAGAAAGACUGGGACUCUGGGUCCUCUCAAACCCAGCACACCCGCACCACGAAUACCAGCCCCCAGCAAGAAACCUCUAAGCACUUUGUGAGUAUUCAUCGCCUAAACAUAUUUCAUUUCCAGUCUUGCCCAACUGAUCUCAGCCUUAACUGUUUAACUGGGCUGGUCUCUGAGCAGACUCUGUAGCUGCCCUGAAAUCAGGUUACUGGCACAGCCUGUAGAUAUUGACUGAUUCAAAGAUUACAGUUGAGCAAACAGGAGCAUGUUAAUUUUUAAUUUCACUUUGUUGAUAAAUCGGGCUUCCUCUUUGUCCUAUAACCGAUAAUUACCUGGUCAGAAGAAACAUGCGAUACUUGACCUGCAAUGAAAGUCCACUUGUCUGGCCUUCCUGGCCCUAGCUGGGUUUUUCAAAGGAGCUCCCAUACUGGUUUGGCCUCAGUCAGCUGUUAAAGAAUUGAGGGACUUCUGAGUUGCGCAACCCUGAGUCAAUGUGAGACCCAAGCUGAACAGCAUGGGACUCUUAAGAAUUAAAGUGGAGACCUAAGGAAGAUCUUUGAGGUUUGGGAUUUGGGGUAGGAAUGGGGUUUUUUUCUAACAAAGGAGAGACUGUGACAGAGAAAGUGUUUCUUUCAUGGCUUCCAGUUCACACUAAGUCACCCUCAUUCUGGAGCCAAGGUUGUUCUCAAAGGUGACUUUACCACAGUAAAACAUGAGGACAGAAAACAGCAGCCGUGUGUCCGCCUCAUCACACAAGAGCCGUACUGUUUGCUAAGUCUCUUAGUUCACACAACCGUGGUGCCAUCCUGGGAA